AUGUGUUUAACUUACAGUAUCCUAAUGAGGCCUCAAGCACUAAAGCAGAAGACACCAGGAGUGGGGAAGGUUCUGGAAGCCUACAAUGAAGAGAGUGGCAACAAAGCUAUCUGCAUCAUCAUGUGUCUGCUUGCUCACUUCAAGGAGGGGGAUGGUAUCUUCCUUACGGCUGAUAGCCUUUUGCGGCAUAAAUCCCCAGACGGGCAGCC
rnacentral:lncRNA from 1 species